AGAGCUUAACUCUGGAACUGCCAUCAAAACUUUUUAGCUAGAGUAUGAUAGAGGAAAGCAGAAUUUCUAGUGUAGAGGUGAAAUUCGUAGAUAUUAGAAAGAAUACCAAUUGCGAAGGCAGCUUUCUGGAUCAUUACUGACGCUGAGGAACGAAAGCAUGGGUAGCGAAGAGGAUUAGAUACCCUCGUAGUCCAUGCCGUAAACGAUGUGUGUUAGACGUUGGAAAUUUAUUUUCAGUGUCGCAGCGAAAGCGAUAAACACACCGCCUGGGGAGUACGACCGCAAGGUUAAAACUCAAAUGAAUUGACGGGGACCCGCACAAGUAGUGGAGCAUGUGGUUUAAUUCGAAGAUACGCGCAGAACCUUACCAACACUUGACAUGUUCGUCGCGACUUUAAGAGAUUAAAGUUUUCGGUUCGGCCGGACGAAACACAGGUGCUGCAUGGCUGUCGUCAGCUCGUGUCGUGAGAUGUUGGGUUAAGUCCCGCAACGAGCGAAACCCUCACUUUUAGUUGCCAUCAUUAAGUUGGGCACUCUGAAAGAACUGCCAGUGAUAAGCUGGAGGAAGGUGGGGAUGACGUCAAGUCCUCAUGGCCCUUACGUGUUGGGCUACACACGUGCUACAAUGGUAUUUACAACAGGAAGCGAAACAGCGAUGUUAAGCAAAUCCUUAAAAGAUACCUCAGUUCGGAUUGCACUCUGCAACUCGAGUGCAUGAAGCUGGAAUUACUAGUAAUCGUGGAUCAGCGUGCCACGGUGAAUGCGUUCCCGGGUCUUGUACACACCGCCCGUCACACCAUGGGAGUUGGUUCUACCUUAAGGCAAGGCAUAAUACCCUUGACCACGGUAUAGUCAGCGACUGGGGUGAAGUCAUAACAAGGUAACCGUA
rnacentral:rRNA from 1 species